UGGUGGAGUGAUUUGUCUGGUUAAUUCCGAUAACGAACGAGACUCUAGCCUGCUAAAUAGUUCACGUCUAACACUGGGCGUGGAACUUCUUAGAGGGAUUAGCUGCAAACACAAGUGGUCUGAAAAUGAGCAAUAACA
rnacentral:rRNA from 1 species